UACGUAGGGCGCAAGCGUUGUCCGGAAUUAUUGGGCGUAAAGAGCUCGUAGGCGGCCUGUCGCGUCUGCUGUGAAAUCCCGGGGCUUAACCCCGGGCGUGCAGUGGAUACGGGCUGGCUGGAGGCAGGCAGGGGAGAACGGAAUUCCCGGUGUAGCGGUGAAAUGCGCAGAUAUCGGGAGGAACACCGGUGGCGAAGGCGGUUCUCUGGGCCUGUUCUGACGCUGAGGAGCGAAAGCGUGGGGAGCAAACGGG
rnacentral:rRNA from 1 species